CUACGUUUUUCUUCAUAUAUAUUUUUUAAUUUUAAUUUUUUUUUAAUAUUUUUUAUUUUUUUAAUAUUUAAAUUCCAUUUAAACUUUAUUGACAGUAAAUAUCACUUUUUAUUAACUUUAUCUUUUUUUAACAGGAACAACAACCCCUCAUAACACUUGCAGCAUUUCUUUCACUCAACAACAUUAAGGUGUGCGUGUUCGGCGUUUUCCCUCAUCAGCCAUUCUCCGCUAUUAGGACACUAUUGACAGAUUUGAUGCAUAAUUAUACAGUGGACAUUGAUAAUAGUUCCUCUUUAAUUAACUGUAAUUAUUAAUAUCUGAUUGUAUUGUAUUUUAAUUACAAUUACAUGGAAAAAUAAAGAAAUCAUUGUCAAAACGUUUAAUGUGGUUUUAAUUGUUUUUGCUAUAAAG